GACAGUGUGGCAUAAUGAUUUGUGUGUUGGACUAUGACUUUGGAGACCAGGGUUCGAUUCUCCGCUUGGCCA